rnacentral:rRNA from 1 species
UGGGGAAUAUUGCACAAUGGGCGAAAGCCUGAUGCAGCAACGCCGCGUGAGGGACGACGGCCUUCGGGUUGUAAACCUCUUUAGCAAGGAAGAAGCGAAAGUGACGGUACUUGCAGAAAAAGCGCCGGCUAACUACGUGCCAGCAGCCGCGGUAAUACGUAGGGCGCAAGCGUUAUCCGGAAUUAUUGGGCGUAAAGAGCUCGUAGGCGGUUUGUCGCGUCUGCUGUGAAAACCCGAGGCUCAACCUCGGGCCUGCAGUGGGUACGGGCAGACUAGAGUGCGGUAGGGGAGAUUGGAACUCCUGGUGUAGCGGUGGAAUGCGCAGAUAUCAGGAAGAACACCGAUGGCGAAGGCAGAUCUCUGGGCCGUAACUGACGCUGAGGAGCGAAAGGGUGGGGAGCAAACAGGCUUAGAUACCCUGGUAGUCCACCCCGUAACGUUGGGAACUAGUUGUGGGUCCAUUCCACGGAUUCCGUGACGCAGCUAACGCAUUAAGUUCCCCGCCU